rnacentral:rRNA from 1 species
GAUCCUGGCUCAGGAUGAACGCUAGCUACAGGCUUAACACAUGCAAGUCGAGGGCAGCAUGGUCUUAGCUUUGCUAAGGCCGAUGGCGUACCGGCGCACGGGUGAGUAACGACGUAAUCCAACCUGCCGUCUACUCUUGGACAGCCUUCUGAAAGGAAGAUUAAUACAAGAUGGCAUCAUGAGUUCACAUGUUCACAUGAUUAAAGGUAUUCCGGUAGACGAUGGGG